AUGGAUCUUCGCUCAGUUAUUCUGUUCUGUGUCUCAACCUUUGCUGUCUUUGGAAAUGUCAUCAAACCAAAGAAAACCAAUGUUUUUGCUGAGGAGGGUUCAAGUGUUACAUUGUCCUGUAGUUUUACUGACUCUAGCACUAGAGAUACUCUCUACUGGUACCGUCAGUAUGGAAGAUCAAAACCUGAAUUUCUUGUACUCACCUACGACACUGCAAAAGAUGCUAAGUGGUCUGAUGUAGAUCCAAGAUUCACUGUUAAUGUGACAAAAAGGGAACAUGUGGAUCUGAAGAUCUCCUCUGCUGCUGUAUCAGACUCUGCUCUGUACUACUGUGCUCUGCAGCCCACAGUGACAGGAAACACAUCAGCUCUCUACAAAAACCUGUUACAAUGA